UUCUUGAAAAAAGAAGGAUUUUGUUUUGGGUAGAAAAUUAAAAAUUUGGGAUAAAAAUUUCUAUGCUCUCUUGGUGUAUUAACCUACCCCAAUCUUGUAAAAAGAAUUUACAGCAACAUGAGAGUGGGAGUAGGUAGUGCAGUUUUGAAAGUGAAGGGUGUGCCAGCUGAGAUUGAUGUUGAUAAUUUUGGAUGCAUACUUCACAUGCCUACUAUUGGGAGCAGAUCAGAUGACCUCAUGAAGUGUGAGACAAGUCUGAAAGUUAUUUGAGAAUGUG
rnacentral:lncRNA from 1 species